GCAGUCGUGGCCGAGUGGUUAAGGCGAUGGACUUGAAAUCCAUUGGGAGUUUCCCGCGCAGGUUCGAAUCCUGCCGACUGCG
rnacentral:tRNA from 1 species